GUCAGCAAGUAUGUCUGUAACAAUACAGACACACAAAAAUUCCCCCAGGAGAAUUAAAGAGACCCCUAUGACAACCCAGUUCCUUUUUCUCUGCCCCCUUACCUCCACCCCAC